rnacentral:rRNA from 1 species
GUGCCAGCAGCCGCGGUAAUACAGAGGGUGCUAGCGUUAAUCGGAUUUACUGGGCGUAAAGCGUGCGUAGGCGGUUUGAUAAGUCGAUUGUGAAAGCCCCGGGCUUAACCUGGGAAUUGCGGUCGAUACUGUCAGACUCGAAAACGGUAGAGGGAGGCGGAACUCCAGGUGUAGCGGUGAAAUGCGUAGAUAUCUGGAAGAACACCGAUGGCGAAGGCAACCUCCUGGGCCUGUUUUGACGCUGAGGCACGAAAGCGUGGGUAGCAAACAGGAUUAGAUACCCUGGUAGUCC